GGAGAAUGGGGGUAGAGACAUGUUACCCGGAGCAGCCUGUGCCAAGCCAUGUGGUCCUGUCACACACCAGAGAGUUUGCCUUGCUGGUGGUGCUGUGGGCAGGCUGUGUCCCACCCUGCACUGGCUGCAGGCAAGUGCUGCAGAGGCUGCCCUCGCAUCUGCAGGUAAAUUUAAGAAGGAAAAGCAUUAAAUCAGAAAGGCUCUAUUAAACCAGACUGUUACCAGAUAUACAGAAGAACCCACUGGUAAGUAGCACAAAAUAGCCAGGCUUAAUGGAAAUUUAAAAUUCAGU